AAACAGUUCUGAUUGCACUUGAGGAAAAACUUUAGAAAGAAUCUGUCAAUGAUAACGGGGUCGGAGGGGGUCUCGUUUCUGUUGCCACAACUUUUCUUGUCACAGCAUCGGCUGCACAUAAUCUCGUGCGUGAGCAGCACCCGGCACAUCUCGGGGUUCUUGUCCUGCCCCUCGUACACGAUCGCCUGUUUGGUCAUGGAGUCUAUGAGGCGCACGUAGAGGUCCUGCUCCGUCCUCACUCCAUUGCUAUACAAUAACUGAAGUUUAUAAUGAAUCCCAUUGUUAGUUUUUUCAUUGUUUGGCUCUUUCUCUUUCUCCACAAAGUCCACAAAAGCCGUUCUCUCAAUCUCCACCGGCUGCCCCUGCCUGUCGUACAGAGCUAAGACGAAGUGGAAAAAAUUGGAUUUUCUCAGGUUGGAAGGCGGCUGUUUCUCGAAAUGCGCCCGAGCCAGCCCUACGCCGCUUUGCGCGGCCGUGUUGGCAUCCACCACUCCGGCCGUGUGCAUCCACGAGCGGACCGGGUUCAUGCCGCUGCCCAGCGGCUCCUCCUUCAUGGUCGUUCCGCCUCGUGGUAUAUUUUCCUGAAUCCCAAACAUUAAAACGAGCGGGGGCGGCGGCAGCUCCUAAGCAAAAGGGGGGGACGCGGAGGGGAGCGCGGUGCGGUGCGGGCUCGGUCGGUGCCCCUCUCCGGAGGAGCGCUCUGCGCCGGAGCUCUGCGGGAGGAGAGUCCGCUCCGAGCCUCGCUGCCUUCCUCAGCGCGUCCUGCGCGGGCACCACAUCAACAAUUUGCGGAGUUCUUCUGCGCGGCCGCGCGGGUGGCGUUCCAGCUUGGAGGUUC
rnacentral:lncRNA from 1 species